CACUAUCACUACCUACGGGGAGGCAGCAGUAGGGAAUCUUCCACAAUGGGCGCAAGCCUGAUGGAGCAACACCGCGUGAGUGAAGAAGGGUUUCGGCUCGUAAAGCUCUGUUGUUAAAGAAGAACACGUAUGAGAGUAACUGUUCAUACGUUGACGGUAUUUAACCAGAAAGUCACGGCUAACUACGUGCCAGCAGCCGCGGUAAUACGUAGGUGGCAAGCGUUAUCCGGAUUUAUUGGGCGUAAAGAGAGUGCAGGCGGUUUUCUAAGUCUGAUGUGAAAGCCUUCGGCUUAACCGGAGAAGUGCAUCGGAAACUGGAUAACUUGAGUGCAGAAGAGGGUAGUGGAACUCCAUGUGUAGCGGUGGAAUGCGUAGAUAUAUGGAAGAACACCAGUGGCGAAGGCGGCUACCUGGUCUGCAACUGACGCUGAGACUCGAAAGCAUGGGUAGCGAACAGGAUUAGAUACCCUGGUAG
rnacentral:rRNA from 1 species